rnacentral:rRNA from 1 species
UACGUAGGGGGCUAGCGUUGUCCGGAAUCAUUGGGCGUAAAGCGCGCGUAGGUGGCCCGGUAAGUCCGCUGUAAAAGUCCAGGGCUCAACCCUGGAAAGCCGGUGGAUACUGUCGGGCUCGAGUCCGGAAGAGGCGAGUGGAAUUCCUGGUGUAGCGGUGGAAUGCGCAGAUAUCAGGAGGAACACCGAUGGCGAAGGCAGCUCGCUGGGACGGUACUGACACUGAGGCGCGAAAGCGUGGGGAGCGAACAGG